UGCAGUUUAGCUCAGUUGGUAGAGCACUUGCCUGAAAUGCACAAGGUUCUGGGUUCAAAUACCCAGUACUUCAU
rnacentral:tRNA from 1 species